rnacentral:tRNA from 1 species
UGAAAAAUAAGUUAAUAAAAACUAUAUGAGUCAUGAUCAUAAAAUACAGAAAUGUUUUUUCAA